CUAGUGACGUCAGCAUCAUCUACACACCUGCUAGUGACUUUAGCAUCAUCUACACACCUGCUAGUGACAUCAGCAUCAUCUACACACCUGCUAGUGACAUCAUGCUCCUCUUCACCUGCUAGUAACUUGUCUGCUUUGUGAUAAGCAAAUUUUGCUAUCUUCCAAUUCUGAACACAUCAGAAAUCACCAACCCCUCCUGACAUAUCUUUCCAGUUUGGGUUUUGCAUGGUCCCCAAUAAACUCAACGUGGGAUGCCUCUCUGAUUUCUUUCACAUCAGGGCACUUAACCUCUACCAGGCCACAGAGAGGUUCUUAAUUUGGGUCCACAACUUUGCCAUCUGCACCAAGGUGUGGAGCAUCAGGGUGGAUGAUGAGACCAGAUGGAAGAACGUUAACGUCAAAGUUCUCCUCAUAGCGGUGAAGAACCUCUGGCUCAAGUUUUAAUUCUCUAGAGACCCCCACAGAUGUUUACACACACUGUUUAAUGCAAGAUAUAAAUGCAUUUAACCUGCAAUUACAAAUGCAUAAUGUUUUAAUCCCAAAAUGUUGAAUACUGAUAUUUGCAUUGAUAAAAGAAAGUGCUUUAAGAGGUGAAAUUAAAAACACCAAAAUAUCCACAAUCAUGAAUUGUAACAUAUCACUUCCUUUAAUGUUUUUACUAUACAGUUGAUAUGGAAUUUGAAAAAAAAGUAUUACAUGUUUAUAUGAAAUGCUUAUACAAAAUAAAUAUGUAGUUAACAUUAAA